UAAACUUUAUUUCAGUAUUGCACAGGGAGCCAUUCAAAUUUGAUAAGUGUAGGUGUGGUAUGUUCCAAUGAUUUGGUGAAGCUCAGGAUUCUUGCACCAGAGUCCUGGACCAGUUGGAGUCGACUGAUGAGUUUGGUGGGGAUACCAGUGAGGAGAGCAUUUGCAGCAGUCUAGACAGGAAGUGUCAAAGGCAUGUUAUCCAGGGUGACACCGAGGCUUUUUACUUUGGAUGACAGAGUGACCGCUCUUGAAGGCAGCCUUCAAGACAUCAGGAGCUGGAUGACCAUGAACCUCCUCCAACUAAACAACUGUCUGCACAGUCUUGAAUAUACACGAAGAUGUUUCAUUCAGGGGACUACCAUGAAAGCUGCUGAACUCAACAAUGGCCAAUCUCA